UACGGCUUUCAGUUCAAACUUUAAUACCUUUGAAGGGACUUUAAUCGUCUAAGAUUUAAAACAUUUUUUAUUAAAACUGUACAAUAAUUUACAAAUGAGUAAAAAUUCUCUGGUAUAUAUCAUAGGAAUCACAAUACAAAAAUAUGUGUAAAAUCUCGUAGAUCACCAUACAAACCUACGUUAGGCCUGUGAAUACGGAUUAGCACUGAACAGAAUGUCACGUGGUUAGAGGGUGACUAUGAAGGGAGUGCCUGGGAGGACACACACACUGCUCGGCAUGCUGCCAUAAGAAAACGGGCCGGUUAGUUUUUGCAUAAAUUUACAAUAAAGCUUUUUAAAAAAUAUACAGUAAACAAAUAUAUGAUUUGAUACCUAUAUUCAGAAUAUGAGUUUCCUGAGCCUAAACUUAAAUUCCACUCUGUGUUAAAACACAUACUCCCUCUCAGGGUUUCAAGGAUGGGAUGACAGUGAGUGUUGGCGAAUGCAUCAGUGCCUCCAAACCCAUGCUUGGGCACUCUCUUCUUUUUGACUUCUAGUCGGUGUUCACAAGCCCUGUAAGGCACUCGGGGUAUCCUGAAGGCUACAGAUUCUGCCAGGGCAGAGACUUUAAGGAACAGCCAUAGUCCUUCUCCAGCUCAAAAUCUGGACCGUGGGCACGAGGUAAACAACACACUGGUGUCAACAAAGAAAUCUGCGAUUUACGUGGAUUUUUACUUUAGACAAACUGAAGUAUCUAUGUUGUUCUGUGUGUUGAGCACAGAGUGUGAUGAUGUUAAUACAAUAUGAUGUAAAUGUUGAUGUCCUGGUUACACAGUAAGCAUUUCUGGCCACAUUUCAGGGUCCUUCCUCUUGCGUUAUUAGCGGAUGAUGCAUUUAUACAGACUUCCCCUGUUAGAAAAGCUAGCAGUAAGACAGCCCAAGUACUCGGAGGAAAUUCCCUCUAGCCCAUUGGUUUGGAAAAAGAAAGUAUAGCCUACAAUUUAGAAAUGCACCUUAUUUUUAAAUACUUGAAUUCUGUUGCUGCUCACUGGACCAGGAGGAGUCAGUGAUAAAUGUUCAUAUUUACCUUUUUGGGGGCAAAAACCCAGUUCUGAAAUGCUGGAUAUUGUAAUCAGAUGUAAAGAAGGUGCCUAUGAUAGAAGAGUGAGAACAAUGAUAUCUGAGGAGAGGAACUGACGCUCCAACUAGAUGUGAGCUUUCAGGAAUGGGACAGGGAUGCAAUGCAGUUUGGAUGUUAUUCAGCACGUUCCUUGUACCUUCUCCCUUUCGUAUAUACAUACUUUUUACAUAUAAACAAUUACAACUUCAUAAGAAUUGGUACAUAUUUACAUGCUUCUCUUUGCUGUAUAGUUUGCCUUAUUACUAUUACAGACUGUGAUUAAGAGUGCCUGUGGUGGAUAGAGGUGUAUGAAGUGCUCCAGACAUAUAUACAACAUGCAAAACCAUGAUGACCCAAAUAAACAUGAGGGAUGUGAAUCUGAGUUUCACUGCACAUCUUUAGAUCCAAAACAGCUGGCCCAUGCAGCUGUUGUUCCCAUGCAGGACAACACUAGGACCAUGCCAGGAGCUCCCCCAGAGGAGGAGCCAGGCUGGCAGGGAGGCAGGUAGAGUUACAACGUAUUUCUGGAUACCUGCAUCGUAGAGUCCAUCGGACUUCAACUCAGGGUUCACCCAUAGCGCUACGGUAGCUUUUAUUAACACAAGGCUAUUGUGUGCCAUUCAGUUCUGAGUAUAAUAAAUGUACCAAGAAGAUGCAGUCAUUAAAAUGAGACAAAACUAUGCACAGAGGACUGAACAAGAUUUCAGACUUGAGACGCAAACCCCAAGGUCAGGCUCAGCUAGAGACAUUGAACUGGCCCAGUAUCUUGUCUGAGUAAAUCAGGAACUGUGGCUUGAAUGACAACAGAAACGGAUGGGUCUUUCUUGGACAAGUGCUGAUUAAUAGUGCAUUUUCUAGCAGAAACCCUGCAGCCACCAAAGAAAACGCAUACCUGUCUGAGAGUAUUAGCUUUUCCCUGAUUUCAGCCUAGGGAACCAUGCCUGGGCCGCGGCCACUAUGUCAUCUGCCCCAAAGUCAGACAUUUCUUCUGACACAAAUAUAAAAUGAACC
ensembl:lncRNA